rnacentral:rRNA from 1 species
GUUGCGGUUAAAAAGCUCGUAGUUGGAUUUCUGCUGAGGACGACCGGUCCGCCCACUGGGUGAGCAUCUGGGACGACCUGGGCAUCCUUCCAGAGAAUGUGUCUGCUCUUAACUGAGUGGUGCAGUAUCUGGAACUUUUACUUUGAGGAAAUUAGAGUGUUUCAAGCAGGCAUACGCCUUGAAUACAUUAGCAUGGAAUAAUAGGAUAGGACCUCGGUUCUAUUUUGUUGGUUUCUAGAGCUGAGGUAAUGAUUAAUAGGGAUAGUUGGGGGCAUCCAUAUUUAACUGUCAGAGGUGAAAUUCUUGGAUUUGUUAAAGAUGAACUACUGCGAAAGCAU